rnacentral:sRNA from 1 species
AUUUCUCGAUGGUUACUUGAAAGCGUGUAAAACAACAAGACGCAUUCUUUGAGCGCCUACGGGAUGCGUUAGAAACUGAGGACCGACCAAAAUUAACUAUGUGUAGACUUUGAACAGUUUGUAGUUUGUUGAGGAUCACAGGGAAAGGAGGUGGAGAGAAACAUACACUAUACUUAUUAUGGCUGUCAAAGGACGUGUACGCAGUUUAUAUGGGUUGCUUGAAUGGGUAGGGAGCCUAAAGUUAAGGAGUAGUGUUAAUCAAGACAUAUUGAAAAGAUGAACUAAAGCAUGCUGUCAGAGGACAAUAAGGGAAAGCUAAUGUGGAAUACUGGUGUCUAGGAAGGUUAUAGAGAUGGAAUAGAUGCUGGCAAAGCAGUUACUCUUCAACAGGGCUUCAAUCAAGGUUAUAAGGAA